AUGUCUAUAACUGUUUGUGUAGCAUUCGAAUGUAGAAGUAAAAAUCGUUAUAUAUUUUAAGGCUUUUUAAGAAAACUUCAUGCUAAUUGAGGAGAAAGAUUCAAAAAAUGGAAUUCAAAUAAAAACAGCUUCCAGGAUCCCCUAUCCAAAAGAUGAUUUAUUCUUAACAGCAACAAGUAACGUGCUAUUUUCUCCACUUGAAAGAACAACAAACGACACGAUGCUAAGCAAAGACAUAGAGCCUGGUUUAUAAAUGUAUGUUUAUAUGUUGUCUCGCUUUAAACUUCUGUUUUCGUACCCGACCUUCCUAUUAUAAUAAAGUACACCUUAAAUUAAGAUCGUGCAUAUGCUUCGAUUCUCAAAUAAUCGUACAAUAUGAAUUUUAACGUUAACAUGGACAAUAAGAUCGUUUGCUACAGGUUGGCAGCACUGCCAGCUGGUAAGCCCAAAAAGAGUGAAUGGUUAUUGGAAGAUGAAAAACUCGCAUAUAUUUAAAAUCAGAAUUCAUGGAAAAAUGGAAAAGCAUCGAACGCCUUAAGUAAUUUCUCAAAUUUAUUAAGGAGCUUCGCAUCUCUUGUAACUACACAAGAAAAGGAAAGGAAAAGCGAACUUUGUCAAAAGACUGAGUAGACUUGAUGCCAGAGCUGAAUGCAUUGGGCCCGUCAUGUAAGGCUGACGAAGGCUAUGGUAGAAUUGGAGACAAUCAAUAGAGAAGAUUGCAGCACAUAAAAUGGUGAGAGGACCAGCUCUCAUCGCCCUUGUCAUCAAUCUUUACAAGAUCUUGAUCAUGCCUUCCAAGUGAUUUUUUACUAGAAUUUUGAAUUUCAGAUUAAGAUAAAAUUAAAAAAAAAAAUAGAUAGCUGAUGUGCCCAGAACAUCAUUGGGCACAAACGACGCCUCUCUUUGGGAGAAGACAGUCUUCAUAGAUCUCAAGGAUAUGCGCGAAGUCUGUUCAUAUCGGCUGAGAAAACAUCUUGCGCAAGCACCU
rnacentral:sRNA from 1 species